rnacentral:rRNA from 1 species
GAUGAACGCUGGCGGCGUGCCUAAUACAUGCAAGUCGAGCGAACGGACGAGAAGCUUGCUUCUCUGAUGUUAGCGGCGGACGGGUGAGUAACACGUGGAUAACCUAUCUAUAAGACUGGGAUAACUUCGGGAAACCGGAGCUAAUACCGGAUAAUAUUUUGAACCGCAUGGUUCAAAAGUGAAAGACGGUCUUGCUGUCACUUAUAGAUGGAUCCGCGCUGCAUUAGCUAGUUGGUAAGGUAACGGCUUACCAAGGCAAUGAUGCAUAGCCGACCUGAGAGGGUGAUCGGCCACACUGGAACUGAGACACGGUCCAGACUCCUACGGGAGGCAGCAGUAGGGAAUCUUCCGCAAUGGGCGAAAGCCUGACGGAGCAACGCCGCGUGAGUGAUGAAGGUCUUCGGAUCGUAAAACUCUGUUAUUAGGGAAGAACAUAUGUGUAAGUAACUGUGCACAUCUUGACGGUACCUAAUCAGAAAGCCACGGCUAACUACGUG